rnacentral:rRNA from 1 species
UGGUUUCUCAAUAAAAGAAUUUUAGUCCAACCUAAAGCAACAGAUAUACACACAAAUUAACCUCUCACUUUAGAGCAAUUCAAAUAAGGUACAGCCUAUUUGAUACAGGACCCAACCUUAAUUAACGGGUAACACUCGAUUUACAUUUAUAAGUAGGCCUAAGAGCAGCCAUCUUUUUAAAAGCGUCAUAGCUUAACUAUGUUUAUCCUAAUUCCUUAACCCCCCUCGACCCCUUUAAUUGUACUGAGAACUUCUAUAAAAUUAUAGAACUUUUUAUGCUAAAACUAGUAACAAGAGGUAACCCCUCUCUAUAAUGCAAGUAUAAUCCAGCAAGAACUCACCACUGGCAACUAACAGACCUAAACAAAAGUAGUACCCCACCUAGAAAACCCUACUCCCAUAACUGUUAAUCUAAUACUAGAGCAUUUCAAGAAAGAUUAAAAGAAAAAGAAGGAAUUCGGCAAAUCUUAGCCCCGCCUGUUUACCAAAAACAUCGCCUCUUGCCAUCAUGAGAGGUCUAGCCUGCCCAGUGACUUCUGUUCAACGGCCGCGGUAUCCUAACCGUGCGAAGGUAGCGUAAUCACUUGUUUCCUAAAUAGAGACCAGUAUGAAAGGCUUCACGAGGACUUAACUGUCUCCUUUCUCUAAUCAGUGAACCUAAUCCCCCCGUGAAGAAGCGGGAAUUUUUUUAUAAGACG